UACGAAGUGGGCUAGCGUUGCUCGGAAUCACUGGGCGUAAAGCGCACGUAGGCGGAUUGUUAAGUCAGGGGUGAAAUCCUGGAGCUCAACUCCAGAACUGCCUUUGAUACUGGCGAUCUUGAGUCCGGGAGAGGUGAGUGGAACUGCGAGUGUAGAGGUGAAAUUCGUAGAUAUUCGCAAGAACACCAGUGGCGAAGGCGGCUCACUGGCCCGGUACUGACGCUGAGGUGCGAAAGCGUGGGGAGCAAACAGG
rnacentral:rRNA from 1 species